rnacentral:rRNA from 1 species
CGUUAUCCGGAUUAUUGGGUUUAAAGGGAGCGUAGAUGGAUGUUUAAGUCAGUUGUGAAAGUUUGCGGCUCAACCGUAAAAUUGCAGUUGAUACUGGAUAUCUUGAGUGCAGUUGAGGCAGGCGGAAUUCGUGGUGUAGCGGUGAAAUGCUUAGAUAUCACGAAGAACUCCGAUUGCGAAGGCAGCCUGCUAAGCUGCAACUGACAUUGAGGCUCGAAAGUGUGGGUAUCAAACAGGAUUAGAUACCCUGGUAGUCCACACGGUAAACGAUGAAUACUCGCUGUUUGCGAUAUACGGCAAGCGGCCAAGCGAAAGCGUUAAGUAUUCCACCUGGGGAGUACGCCGGCAACGGUGAAGCUCAAAGGAAUUGACGGGGGCCCGCACAAGCGGAGGAACAUGUGGUUUAAUUCGAUGAUACGCGAGGAACCUUACCCGGGCUUAAAUUGCAGAUGAAUUACGGUGAAAGCCGUAAGCCGCAAGGCAUCUGUGAAGGUGCUGCAUGGUUGUCGUCAGCUCGUGCCGUGAGGUGUCGGCUUAAGUGCCAUAACGAGCGCAACCCUUGUUGUCAGUUACUAACAGGUUCUGCUGAGGACUCUGACAAGACUGCCAUCGUAAGAUGUGAGGAAGGUGGGGAUGACGUCAAAUCAGCACGGCCCUUACGUCCGGGGCUACACACGUGUUACAAUGGGGGGUACAGAGGGCCGCUACCACGCGAGUGGAUGCCAAUCCCCAAAACCUCUCUCAGUUCGGACUGGAGUCUGCAACCCGACUCCACGAAGCUGGAUUCGCUAGUAAUCGCGCAUCAGCCACGGCGUGGUGAAUACGUUCCCGGGCCUUGUACACACCGCCCGUCAAGCCAUGGGAGCCGGGGGUACCUGAAGUGCGUAACCGCGAGGAGCGCCCUAGGGUAAAACUGGUGACUGGGG